GUGCACCAGGCGCGAAACCUCCGCAAUACACGAAAGUGUGACGGGGCCAUCCCGAGUGCCGUCCGCUGAGGACGGCUUUUCCCCAGUGUACAUAGCUGGGGGAAUAAGGAGAGGGCAAGCCUGGUGUCAGCCGCCGCGGUAAUACCGAGCUCUCCGAGUGGUGGGACGCUUAUUGGGCCUAAAGCAUCCGGUAGCCGGCUGGGCAAG
rnacentral:rRNA from 1 species